GACGAACGCUGGCGGCGUGCUUAACACAUGCAAGUCGAACGGAAAGGCCCUGCCUUUGUGGGGUGGUCGAGUGGCGGACGGGUGAGUAGCACGUGAGUUACCUGCCCCUGACUUUGGGAUAACUUCAGGCAACUGGGGCUAAUACCGGAUAGGAGCUCCCGCUGCUGGGUGGGGGUUGGAAAGUUUCGGCGGUUGGGGAUGGACUCGCGGCUUAUGAGGUUGUUGGUGGGGUAGUGGCUGAGCAAGUCUAUGACGGGUAGCCGGCACGGGAGGGUGACCGGGCACAUUGGGACUGGGACAGGGACCAGACCCCUACUCCAGGGAGAGGUGGGAGAUAUUGCACAGUGAGGGGGAGCGUGAGGCAGAACCGGCGCGUCCGGGAUGAUGGUGUACGGGUUGGAGACGUAUUGCGCCUUUAACGAAGAUGGUAUGACGGGAAUGGGUAAAGAAGCACCGGCUAACUACGUG
rnacentral:rRNA from 1 species